rnacentral:rRNA from 1 species
UAGGGAAUCUUCGGCAAUGGGGGGAACCCUGACCGAGCAACGCCGCGUGAGUGAAGAAGGUAUUCGGAUCGUAAAGCUCUGUUGUUAAGUAAGAACGAGUGUGAGAAUGGAAAGUUCAUACUGUGACGGUACUUAACAAGAAAGGGACGGCUAACUACGUGCCAGCAGACGCGGUAAUACGUAGGUCCCGAGCGUUGUCCGGAUAUAUUGGGCGUAAAGCGAGCGCAGGCGGUUAGAUAAGUCUGAAGUUAAAAGCAGUGGCUCAACCAUUGUAGGCUUUGGAAACUGUUUAACUUGUGUGCAGAAAGGGAGAGUGGAAUUCCAUGUGUAACGGUGAAAUUCGUAGAUAUAUGUAGGAACACCGGUGGCGAAAGCGGCUCUCUGGUCUGUAACUGACGCUGAGGCUCGAAAGCGUGGGGAGCUAACAGG